UGCCGGCUCUCCAAAGGCCGGGGUCACUGAAGAGGCAACUACUUCCUUGCCGGACGUGCGGAUCGGGUUUCCCGUUCCAAUCCAUGGCAGCAACGACCGAAUGCUUCGCAUUCGGGCUCGUCGGGGUCCAGUCCCGACAAGUCCGGACGCUGAGGCAGUCGGGCCAUCGU
rfam:Prosthecomicrobium hirschii strain 16 C1, whole genome shotgun sequence.